rnacentral:rRNA from 1 species
UUCCUACGGGGGGCAGCAGUGAGGAAUAUUGGUCAAUGGGCGCAAGCCUGAACCAGCCAAGUCGCGUGAGGGAUGACGGUCCUAUGGAUUGUAAACCUCUUUUGUCGGGGAGCAAGGCCCGCCACGUGUGGCGGGAAGGAGAGUACCCGAAGAAAAAGCAUCGGCUAACUCCGUGCCAGCAGCCGCGGUAAUACGGAGGAUGCGAGCGUUAUCCGGAUUUAUUGGGUUUAAAGGGUGCGUAGGCGGAAUGCCAAGUCAGCGGUAAAAUCGCGGGGCUCAACCUCGCUCCGCCGUUGAAACUGGCG